UAGGGAAUCUUCGGCAAUGGACGGAAGUCUGACCGAGCAACGCCGCGUGAGUGAAGAAGGUUUUCGGAUCGUAAAGUUCUGUUGUUAGAGAAGAACGUUGGUAGGAGUGGAAAAUCUACCAAGUGACGGUAACUAACCAGAAAGGGACGGCUAACUACGUGCCAGCAGCCGCGGUAAUACGUAGGUCCCGAGCGUUGUCCGGACUUAUUGGGCGUAAAGCGAGCGCAGGCGGUUCUUUAAGUCUGAAGUUAAUGGCAGUGGCUUAACCAUUAUACGCUUUGGAAACUGGACGACGUGAGUGCAGAAGGGGAGAGUGGAAUUCCAUGUGUAGCAGUGAAUUGCGUAGAUAUAUGGAGGACCACCGGUGGCGAAGGCGGCUCUCUGGUCUUUAACUGACGCAGAGGCUCGAAAGCGUGGGGAGCAAACAGG
rnacentral:rRNA from 1 species